UAUUGUACUUCUAAGUUACUGCCAAAUAUUUGCACUUUCUAUGAAAUUUUGACCUUCAGCUUUUGUUCUCAUUUGAUUUCUGCUGCUUAUACUCCCUUUCAGUUCAUAUGGCCUGGAUGAUGAAAAUUUUGAAAACGAGCAUCUUUCAUCAAAUAUAUCUGAUCCUGGACAGAUUGCUCGAGCUGUGUACGAUGUGGAGGAGGCAACUGCAACUGCCUUUGACAUCAUUCUAGAACAUAAGAUGAUUACGUCAGGAACUCGAGCUUCACUAAUAAAAUUCCUGCAGCUUUUAGUGGCUCAUCACCCUUCGAGGAGGUAAAGAUCCAACCUUUCAAGUAUGUAUCUUGACUUGGGUUUAUGUUACAAAAAUGCUAGUAACUUAAUUAGCCUGCUGAAAAGAAGGAAUUACUGCCUGAGGAAAAAAAUAACUCCUAA